AGUGAACGCUGGCGGCGUGCCUAAUACAUGCAAGUCGCACGGAGUGGCGCACGGGUGAGUAAUGUAUAGCUAAUCUGCCCUACACUAGAGGACAACAGUUGGAAUCGACUGCUAAUACUCUAUAGUGUAGGAUGAGGCUAUAUUGUCUGAGUUAGUUGGUGAGGUAAUGGCUCACCAAGGCUAUGACGCAUAACUGGUCUGAGAGGAUGAUCAGUCACACUGGAACGGAGACACGGGGUAGACUCCUACGGGAAGUAGCAGUAGGGAAGAUGGCUCAAUGGGGGAAACCCUGAAGCAGCAACGCCGCGUGGAGGAUGAAACUUUUCGGAGCGUAAACUCCUUUUGAUAGGGAAGCGGUACCUAACGAGUAAGCACCGGCUAACUCCGUGCCAGCAGCCGCGGUAAUUC
rnacentral:rRNA from 1 species